rfam:Schistosoma rodhaini strain Burundi genome assembly, scaffold: SROB_scaffold0018473
AUCCAGCUGACGAGUCCCAAAUGGGAUGAAAUGCACGUAGUGGAU